rnacentral:rRNA from 1 species
AGUGAACGCUGGCGGUAGGCCUAACACAUGCAAGUCGAACGGCAGCACAGUAAGAGCUUGCUCUUACGGGUGGCGAGUGGCGGACGGGUGAGGAAUACAUCGGAAUCUACUUUUUCGUGGGUGAUAACGUAGGGAAACUUACGCUAAUACCGCAUACGACCUACGGGUGAAAGCAGGGGAUCUUCGGACCUUGCGCGAUUGAAUGGGCCGAUGUCGGAUUAGCUAGUUGGCGGGGUAAAGGCCCACCAAGGCGACGAUCCGUAGCUGGUCUGAGAGGAUGAUCAGCCACACUGGAACUGAGACACGGUCCAGACUCCUACGGGAGGCAGCAGUGGGGAAUAUUGGACAAUGGGCGCAAGCCUGAUCCAGCCAUACCGCGUGGGUGAAGAAGGCCUUCGGGUUGUAAAGCCCUUUUGUUGGGAAAGAAAAGCAGCAGGUUAAUACCCCGCUGUUCUGACGGUACCCAAAGAAUAAGCACCGGCUAACUUCGUG